GAUGAACGCUAGCGGCGUGUCUAAGAUAUGCAAGUCGAACGUCGUCUUGUUGGUGCUUGCACUAACAAGAUGUAGUGGCGGACGGCUGAGUAACACGUAGGAACCUACCCCCCGGUAGAGAAUAGCCCCGAGAAAUCGGGGGUAAUGCUCUAUAGUCCCGAUUUAUCGGGUAAAGGACUUAACUGUUCGCCGAGGGAGGGGCCUGCGGCCUAUCAGGUAGUUGGUAAGGUAACGGCUUACCAAGCCUAUGACGGGUAGCUGACCUCAUGAGGGUGAUCAGCCAGAGGAGGACUGAGAACGGCCUCCACACCUACGGGUGGCAGCAAUCGAGAAUCGUUGGCAAUGGGCGAAAGCCUGACCACGCGACGCCGCGUGCGGGAUGAAGCCUUUCGGGGUGUAAACCGCUGUGGUAGGGGAAGAAGGUGAGCUUGCUCACUUGACGGUACCCUACUAGAAAGUAGCCGCUAACUUCGUGCCAGAAGCGUCGGUGAUACGAGGGCUACAAGCGUUAUCCGGUGUAACUGGGCGUAAAGGGUUCGUAGGCGGUUCUUCAAGUUACUUUUUAAAUAUCCCGACUUAAUCGGGAAAAGGGAAGUAAUACUGUAGAACUGGAGUUUUCUUUAGGGUAAUCGGAAUUAAUAGAGGAGUAGUGAAAUGCGUUGAUACUAUUAAGAACACCAAUGGCGAAGGCAGAUUACUGGAAGAUAACUGACGCUGAGGAACGAAAGCUAGGGGAGCGAACCGGAUUAGAGACCCGGGUAGUCCUAGCCGUAAACGAUGCUCGCUAGUUGCAUUUUUCCGGAACUAUUUUAGAGCUGGAAAGGUGUGGCGAAGCUAACGCGUUAAGCGAGCCGCCUGGGAAGUACGGUCGCAAGACUGAAACUCAAAGGAAUUGGCGGGGAGACACACAACUAGUGGAUCAUGUGGUUUAAUUCGAGACGAACCGAAGAACCUCACCAGGGUUUGACAUUAAGCUGCACGCUGCGGGAAACCGCGGAAGCUUUCGAAGGUGCUUAACAGCUGCUGCAUGGCUGUCGUCAGUUCGUUCCGUGAGGAGUGCCCUUAAGUGGGACAACGAACGUAACCCUUGCCUUAUGUUAUAUUUGUCAUAAGGAACUGCCUCACCGAUGGUGGGGAGGAAGGAGAGGCAGACGUCAAGUCAGCAUGGCGCUUACACCCUGGGCUACACACAUGAUACAAUGAGACGGACAGAAGGUUGCCAAACCGUAAGGUGGAGCUAAUCCUAUAAACCGUCUCUCAGUGGGGAUAGAGGUCUGCAACUCGACCUCUUGAACAUGGAAUUAGUAGUAAUCGCGGGUCAGCUAUACCGCGGUGAAUACGUUCUUGUCUCUUGCACACACUGCCCGUCAAGCCAACAAAGUCGGUGGUAUCUGAAGGCUCCGCUUGCGGGGACGAAGGUAAAAUCGGCGAUGGGGACU
rnacentral:rRNA from 1 species